rnacentral:lncRNA from 1 species
GGAGGGACUGAGUGGCGGCGGCCCCCGCGUCCCGGUGCCUCUAUGGGGAAAGCAGACAAUGGAUUAUGAUUUCAAGGCGAAGCUGGCGGCGGAGCGGGAGCGGGUGGAGGAUUUGUUUGAGUACGAAGGGUGCAAAGUGGGACGCGGCACCUACGGGCACGUCUACAAGGCGAGGCGAAAAGAUGGAUCGGCAUUGACAUAGUACAGUGGUGCGAGUGAGUCCAUAUGCCUCUUGGAUUCUGCCACUUCUUCAGAUGGUGAACCUCAGAGGUGCAGCAUCAUCGCUUAUCAUCUGACAGUUAAUAUACAAGAGAAAUGAAAAGAUGAAAAGGAAUAUGCAUUGAAGCAAAUUGAAGGCACAGGAAUAUCCAUGUCAGCUUGUAGAGAGAUUGCA